CCCGUCUGCUCCUCUUCCCGAGCCCUCCACUCUCUCUCCUCAGCCCUUGGGGCCGAGCUCGUCCCAAGCCCCUGCCCCAGGAGGCUCCAGACACUGCAACGGGCUGGCGAGCUCCAGGCGGCUGACCUCGGGGUCUCGGGGGGGACCCAGCUGGACCAGGUUGGACCCUUUUGUGUGGCUGAAUAAAGCAGUCCAUGGGAGGUGCUGCUGAAGAACACCCGGGGAGGUGACCAGACUACAGAAUUUUAACUGGAGAAGGAAGAGAAACCCGUGCCCUGGAGAACCUGGGGCUGGGGGCGCUGCGGAGCUCCGGGUCCCAGGAGGGCCGAUGCUGGUCGUCCGUGCUGCUUAAUGAGUCCCUGACUGCUGUGAGCCCCGUCUGCGUGGAGGCCCUCCAGGCUGACCAGCGAGCCCUGCGCAAGCUUCCGGAAGCCACUUCUGUCCCAAGUUGCAAGUGGGAUCGAACGUGCCUCCUACGGCAUCCAGCCCAGCGGAGGGGAAGAGAGAGAGAGAGAGAGAGAGAGAGAGAGAGACACUCCCUCGGCCCACGCCAGAGCGGAGGGCACACGCGGCGUGCUGGCUCCUGCAUCGGCACCCCACCGGGCACUUGGCUUGUCAGUAUUUCUGUUCAACUGGGUGCCUCAUGCCGGGAAACCAGCCCUCCCUGAGGGUCUCUGCCUCCCGGAGUAACGAGGGAAAGCUCUUCACAGAAAACGUCAGCUCAUCAGUACGGGAGGAAUGGAAGAAUUAGGAGCUCUGCAUUCUGCACCCCUCAGAUAACUGAGCGGGACAAGGGGACGUGAAAGUGUGUCAAUCACACAGUGCCACCCGGGAAAGAAAAAACACCCUCCACUUUCAUCGGAGACGUCUGGCUGUCAGCGCCUUCGUGGGGAUUCAAACUCAGCAUCACCCAUGCUGGGUCAGUCUGACGUUAGGGGUCGAAAACUCCAGCUCACGGAAUCGCCGACGCUGUGGUCUUGCUGAAAACACUUCAGCCCUCACGUCCAGUUUACGGGAAGGAGGAGGGAUAGAGCACGCGGUAAACAACACCAGGAGAAAGGACCAGACAGGUGCCGAGAGCCAGACCUAACGCAUCCCUCAAACAGGGUAACGUCAGGAAAAGGGUAGGAUUGGUUCUAGGAUGAAAACAGCUAAAAAGAAGCAACAUUUCUAACAACAAGCAUGAACCUGAUCACCUAAGCAGCACGAAAGUAUUGUGAUGACAUUUCGGUACGAACGGAGUAUCACAGACCCAUCCGUACUGCUAAUUGGGUGUGGUGAUAGCACAAUGCUUAUCUGGAAGAAUGGCCUUAUUUCUAGGAGAUGAGCUGUUGAGGGUGAAAUGUCUUGAUGUCCGAAACUUGUUUUCAAAUGACUCAGCAAAGUCGAUACGUGCACAGAAGGUCGAGAGGACAAAAUCAGUGACCGGAGCUGGGGAGCGGACGUGGUGGGGAGUUGUACAACGUGUUCCCCUUCUCUGGAUGUUUGAAAUUUUUUCGUAACAAAAAGUUGGAGAAAAAUAAAAUG